rnacentral:rRNA from 1 species
AAGACGAACCGUGCGAACGUUGUUCGGAAUCACUGGGCUUAAAGGGCGCGUAGGCGGGCUAGCAAGUCCGGGGUGAAAUCUUUCGGCUCAACCGGAAAAGUGCCUUGGAUACUGCUGGCCUGGAGUGAGGUAGGGGCCGCGGGAACUUCCGGUGGAGCGGUGAAAUGCGUUGAUAUCGGAAGGAACGCCGGUGGCGAAAGCGCGCGGCUGGCCCUCAACUGACGCUGAGGCGCGAAAGCUAGGGGAGCAAACGGGA